rnacentral:rRNA from 1 species
UACGAAGGGGGCUAGCGUUGCUCGGAAUCACUGGGCGUAAAGCGCACGUAGGCGGAUUGUUAAGUCAGGGGUGAAAUCCUGGAGCUCAACUCCAGAACUGCCUUCGAUACUGGCGAUCUCGAGUCCGGGAGAGGUGAGUGGAACUGCGAGUGUAGAGGUGAAAUUCGUAGAUAUUCGCAAGAACCCCAGUGGCGAAGGCGGCUCACUGGCCCGGUACUGACGCUGAGGUGCGAAAGCGUGGGGAGCAAACAGG